rnacentral:rRNA from 1 species
UACGAGGGGGGCUAGCGUUGUUCGGAAUUACUGGGCGUAAAGCGCACGUAGGCGGACUAUUAAGUCAGGGGUGAAAUCCCGGGGCUCAACCCCGGAACUGCCUUUGAUACUGGUAGUCUCGAGUCCGGAAGAGGUGAGUGGAAUUCCGAGUGUAGAGGUGAAAUUCGUAGAUAUUCGGAGGAACACCAGUGGCGAAGGCGGCUCACUGGUCCGGUACUGACGCUGAGGUGCGAAAGCGUGGGGAGCAAACAGG